rnacentral:lncRNA from 1 species
UCCAGUCUAGAGGUAACUAAGGCAUGCACCACCGUGGUCAGGUCAGACUUCACGAGGUAUGGUCGCAGUUUGGGGGUCCUCCUGGAUUCAGCGUUGACGCUUGAAGCACAGGUGUCGGCAGUGGCUGGGAGGGCUUUCGCACAACUCAAACUUGUGCGCCAACUGCGACCAUACCUCGUGAAGUCUGAUUUGACCACGGUGGUCCAUGCCUUAGUUACCUCUAGACUGGACUACUGUAAUGCGCUCUACGUGGGGCUUCCCUUGAAGACGGCCCGGAAAUUACAAUUGGUCCAACGCUCGGCAGCCAGAUUAAUAACGGGGGCGAGUUACAGGGAGAGAUCCACUCCCCUGUUUAAGGAGCUCCACUGGCUGCCGUUUAUUUUCCGGUCCCAAUUCAAGGUGCAGACUAUCAUCUAUAAAGCCCUAAACGGUUUGGGACCCACCUACCUCCGUGACCGUAUUUCCUUUCAUAAACCUGCCCGAUCUUUACGAUCAUCCGGGGAGGCCCUUUUAGCACCACUGUCUUUAUCCCAGGCCCGCCUUGUGAGUACAAGGGAGAGGGCCUUUUCUGCUGUGGCCCCCCCGAUUGUGGAACUCACUACCUACUGAAAUUAGGCAAGCUCCCACGCUGUUAGCUUUUAGGAAAGACUUGAAAACAUGGCUCUUCCGCUGUGCCUUUGGUGAGUAACUUCUGUUAUUUCUGUGUUACUCCCACCCCGAACAUCUAUCCUCUAGAUUACCCCACUUCCAUAUGUCCCUGCCCGCAGUGGAGUACCCCUAUGUCCCUCUCACCCCAGGUUUUAUCUUUGUGUUCACGUGGCCUGCCCUUGUUUUACUGUUUUUUUUAUUUCUUGAUGUUGAUGCAUUUAUUGUAUUUUUAAUGGUGCUAUGUUAUGUUGUUUUAUAUUUUGUUAUAUUGUAUUGCUCUGGGCAUGGCCCCAUGUUAGCCGCCCCGAGUCCCCGUUGGGGAGAUGGUGGCGGGGUAUAAAUAAAGUUUUAUUAUUAUUAUUAUUAUUAUUAUUAUUAUUAUUAUUAUUAUUAUUAUCUCUGUAACCAGUA